rnacentral:lncRNA from 1 species
GUUUCUUUGUGGUUUGUUGCUAGUGAGGCUCUAUCUUUUGAGAAACUAUCUAGAUGGCAGAGUCUCUGCCUGGUGGGAAAAGGUUUUCAGUGCUUGUCUAUUGAUCUCAUGGUUUUGUUGCACUGGGAGAAGGAAACAGUGUGCAUGUUUAUAUGCUUAGAAGCAAAGAGAGGUUUCCUUUUCCCUGCUUUCUUAAAGUGGAAAACAAAGGAUAAUUUUCAAGGCAGUGGAGGGAAGCUGAGACAUGCAUCUGCUGGAUGUAACACAUGGAUAUGGACACUGCUCCAUCUGGCAGUAUUGCACUCUCCUCUCCUUGUAAAAUCUGGUCAAUGGAGAGUUUCUAAAGAGGUGAGAUGUAAAGGAAAAAUUGUUGCCACAAAGUCAUUUUCCAGCCUGUUCAGAAAAUAUAAAGCAAAACAUAGUGAUUCGUUGCAAGACAAGGAGAGAUGGGUCCAAAUCUGUUUUUCAUAUACAAAUCUCAGAAUUCCUCUCUUAGGUCUACAAAGAAAUCUUAAAGGUUUAUGAAUAUUUAUUAAAAAAAACAAAACAAGAAACUGUCAGCAGGCAUCUACCUUUCAUCAUCACCUACAGCAAAUCUAAUUCAGUCCAUGAUAUUUCAAAAGAAUUUCUCACUGAAGUAUUUGAAAUACAUUACAUAACUAGGAGUGAGGAAGGGCCAUGAGUACUAACAGUACAAUGAGGUCAACAUCUUUCACUUCCUUUUAAUAAAAUACUAUAUUUUGCUUGUUAUGUGGAGUUU